UAAACUUUGCCACCGGGUAAAGUUUUUAAGGUGUUCUGAAACAUUCCGUUAGGUCUUGGAAGGAAUGUUUUUAGGACACUUUUUUAUU
rnacentral:ncRNA from 1 species